rnacentral:lncRNA from 1 species
GGUUUUAAACCCCAAACUGAAUUUUUCUUUUAGUCAGCAUUAGGGUUUUAAACCCUAAACUGAACUUUUUCCUUUCAGCCAGCAUUAGGGUUUUAAACCCUAAACUGAGCUUUUCCAUGCAAUCAGCAUUAGGGUUUUAAACCCUAAACUGAAUUUUUCUUUUAAUCAGCAUUAGGGUUUUAAACCCUAAACUGAAUUUUUCUUUUAGUCAGCAUUAGGGUUUUAAACCCUAAACUGAACUUUUUCCUUUCAGCCAGCAUUAGGGUUUUAAACCCUAAACUGAGCUUUUCCAUGCAAUCAGCAUUAGGGUUUUAAACCCUAAACUGAACUUUUCCUUUCAGCCAGCAUUAGAGUUUUAAGCUCUAAACUGAGCUUUUCCAUGCAAUCAGCAUUAGGGUUUUAAACCCUAAACUGAAUUUUCCUUUUAGUCAGCAUUAGGGUUUUAAACCCUAAACUGAACUUUUUCCUUUCAGCCAGCAUUAGGGUUUUAAACCCUAAACUGAGCUUUUCCAUGCAAUCAGCAUUAGGGUUUUAAACCCUAAACUGAAUUUUCCUUUCAGCCAGCAUUAGGGUUUUAAACCCUAAACUGAGCUUUUCCAUGCAAUCAGCAUUAGGGUUUUAAACCCUAAACUGAAUUUUCCUUUUAGUUAGCAUUAGGGUUUUAAACCCUAAACUGAGUUUUUCCAUGCAAUCAGCAUUAGGGUUUUAAACCCUAAACUGAGCUUUUGCUUCCAGUCAGCAUUAGGGUUUUAAACCCUAAACUGAGCUUUUCCAUAAAUCAGCAUUAGGGUUUUAAACCCUAAACUGAACUUUUUCCUUUAGUCAGCCUUAGGGUUUUAAACCCUAAACUGAAUU